UACGUAGGGGGCAAGCGUUGUCCGGAAUCAUUGGGCGUAAAGCGCGUGUAGGCGGUCCGGUAAGUCCGCUGUGAAAGUCCAGGGCUCAACCCUGGGAUGCCGGUGGAUACUGUCGGGCUAGAGUACGGAAGAGGCGAGUGGAAUUCCCGGUGUAGCGGUGAAAUGCGCAGAUAUCGGGAGGAACACCAAUUGCGAAGGCAGCUCGCUGGGACGUUACUGACGCUGAGACGCGAAAGCAUGGGGAGCGAACAGG
rnacentral:rRNA from 1 species